GAUGAACGCUAGCGGCAGGCCUAAUACAUGCAAGUCGGACGGGAUCCAUUGAUAGCUUGCUAUCAAUGGUGAGAGUGGCGCACGGGUGCGUAACGCGUGAGCAACCUGCCUCCAUCAGGGGGAUAGCCUCUCGAAAGAGAGAUUAACACCGCAUAAUAUCAACAGUUCGCAUGUUCAGUUGAUUAAAUAUUUAUAGGAUGGAGAUGGGCUCGCGUGACAUUAGCUAGUUGGUAGGGUAACGGCUUACCAAGGCGACGAUGUCUAGGGGCUCUGAGAGGAGCAUCCCCCACACUGGUACUGAGACACGGACCAGACUCCUACGGGAGGCAGCAGUAAGGAAUAUUGGUCAAUGGGCGGAAGCCUGAACCAGCCAUGCCGCGUGCAGGAUGACUGCCCUAUGGGUUGUAAACUGCUUUUGUCCAGGAAUAAACCUAAAUACGAGUAUUUAGCUGAAUGUACUGGAAGAAUAAGGAUCGGCUAACUCCGUG
rnacentral:rRNA from 1 species